rnacentral:rRNA from 1 species
AUUGAACGCUGGCGGCAGGCCUAACACAUGCAAGUCGAACGAGUGGCGGACGGGUGAGUAAUGUCUGGGAAACUGCCUGAUGGAGGGGGAUAACUACUGGAAACGGUAGCUAAUACCGCAUACCAUCGGAUGUGCCCAGAUGGGAUUAGCUAGUAGGUGGGGUAAAGGCUCACCUAGGCGACGAUCCCUAGCUGGUCUGAGAGGAUGACCAGGCAAGCUGGAGAUGAGUCACGGUCCAGACGCCUACGGUAGUCGGCAGGGGAGAAUGUGGCAGAGUGGGCGCAAGUCUGAUGAAGCGAAGCCGCGUGUAGGAAGAAGGCCAUCGUAUGGUAAAAUACUUUCAGCGGUUGGAGGUUCCCCUCUGAGGAAGCCCCGGCUAACUCCGUGCCAGCAGCCGCGGUAAUAC